rnacentral:lncRNA from 1 species
UUUCUUUAAGGGACCUAUUUGGACCUUUUUUUCUUUAAGGGACCAAUAUGAAACCAAAAAUGUCUUUAAGGGACCAUUUUACUAAUUAAGCCUUUUUUUUUAAUAAGUAAACAAAAUGAUGGGGUUCCAGAAUUAUUUAAAAAAUAUAUAAAAUAUAAAAUAAACAUAUAAACAAAUAUAGAAUAAUUAGUCCAUGAAAUUCCUUAUACUACUCUUAUUGAAAACGCUCUUAAAAUUUUUGUAUUUUAUUUUUUAUUGUUACAUAUUACACCUAAUUAGACCCAUGCACCGCAUGGGUCAAAGUUCUAGU